rnacentral:rRNA from 1 species
CGGAGGGUGCGAGCGUUGUCCGGAUUUAUUGGGUUUAAAGGGUGCGUAGGCGGCUUUGUAAGUCUGGGGUGAAAGCCCGUUGCUCAACAACGGAACUGCCCUGGAAACUGCGGAGCUUGAGUCCAGUCGAGGUUGGCGGAAUGGGCGAUGUAGCGGUGAAAUGCAUAGAUAUCGCCCAGAACACCGAUUGCGAAGGCAGCUGACUAGGCUGGUACUGACGCUGAGGCACGAAAGCGUGGGGAGCGAACAGGA